AAUACCUACGGGGCGCAGCAGUGAGGAAUAUUGGUCAAUGGGCGGGAGCCUGAACCAGCCAAGCCGCGUGAGGGAAGAAGGUACAGCGUAUCGUAAACCUCUUUUGUCAGGGAACAAAGGCGGGGACUAGUCCACGGAUGAGGGUACCUGAAGAACAAGCAUCGGCUAACUCCGUGCCAGCAGCAGCGGUAAUACGGAGGAUGCGAGCGUUAUCCGGAUUUAUUGGGUUUAAAGGGUGCGCAGGCGGCCUGUUAAGUCAGCGGUAAAAGCCCGGGGUUCAA
rnacentral:rRNA from 1 species